rfam:Loxodonta africana unplaced genomic scaffold scaffold_143, whole genome shotgun sequence.
GGUAGCAUGGCCGAGCGGUCUAAUGUGCUGGAUUUGGGCUCCAGUCUCUGCGGGGAUGUGGGUUCGAAUCCCACAGCUGCCA